rnacentral:rRNA from 1 species
UUGAACGCUGGCGGCAGGCCUAACACAUGCAAGUCGAGCGGUAGCACAGAGAGCUUGCUCUCGGGUGACGAGCGGCGGACGGGUGAGUAAUGUCUGGGAAACUGCCUGAUGGAGGGGGAUAACUACUGGAAACGGUAGCUAAUACCGCAUAAUGUCGCAAGACCAAAGUGGGGGACCUUCGGGCCUCAUGCCAUCAGAUGUGCCCAGAUGGGAUUAGCUAGUAGGUGGGGUAACGGCUCACCUAGGCGACGAUCCCUAGCUGGUCUGAGAGGAUGACCAGCCACACUGGAACUGAGACACGGUCCAGACUCCUACGGGAGGCAGCAGUGGGGAAUAUUGCACAAUGGGCGCAAGCCUGAUGCAGCCAUGCCGCGUGUGUGAAGAAGGCCUUCGGGUUGUAAAGCACUUUCAGCGGGGAGGAAGGCGUUAAGGUUAAUAACCUUGGCGAUUGACGUUACCCGCAGAAGAAGCACCGGCUAACUCCGUGCCAGCAGCCGCGGUAAUACGGAGGGUGCAAGCGUUAAUCGGAAUUACUGGGCGUAAAGCGCACGCAGGCGGUCUGUCAAGUCGGAUGUGAAAUCCCCGGGCUCAACCUGGGAACUGCAUUCGAAACUGGCAGGCUAGAGUCUUGUAGAGGGGGGUAGAAUUCCAGGUGUAGCGGUGAAAUGCGUAGAGAUCUGGAGGAAUACCGGUGGCGAAGGCGGCCCCCUGGACAAAGACUGACGCUCAGGUGCGAAAGCGUGGGGAGCAAACAGGAUUAGAUACCCUGGUAGUCCACGCCGUAAACGAUGUCGAUUUGGAGGUUGUGCCCUUGAGGCGUGGCUUCCGGAGCUAACGCGUUAAAUCGACCGCCUGGGGAGUACGGCCGCAAGGUUAAAACUCAAAUGAAUUGACGGGGGCCCGCACAAGCGGUGGAGCAUGUGGUUUAAUUCGAUGCAACGCGAAGAACCUUACCUGGUCUUGACAUCCACAGAACUUUCCAGAGAUGGAUUGGUGCCUUCGGGAACUGUGAGACAGGUGCUGCAUGGCUGUCGUCAGCUCGUGUUGUGAAAUGUUGGAUUAAGUCCCGCAACGAGCGCAACCCUUAUCCUUUGUUGCCAGCGGUCCGGCCGGGAACUCAAAGGAGACUGCCAGUGAUAAACUGGAGGAAGGUGGGGAUGACGUCAAGUCAUCAUGGCCCUUACGACCAGGGCUACACACGUGCUACAAUGGCAUAUACAAAGAGAAGCGACCUCGCGAGAGCAAGCGGACCUCAUAAAGUAUGUCGUAGUCCGGAUUGGAGUCUGCAACUCGACUCCAUGAAGUCGGAAUCGCUAGUAAUCGUAGAUCAGAAUGCUACGGUGAAUACGUUCCCGGGCCUUGUACACACCGCCCGUCACACCAUGGGAGUGGGUUGCAAAAGAAGUAGGUAGCUUAACCUUCGGGAGGGCGCUUACCACUUUGUGAUUCAUGACUGGGGUG